ensembl:lncRNA
GAACUCAGCCCCAGGACCAGCUGGAUGAGAGUCCUGAGGUUUCAGUGUGUUAGUAGAACAGGUUAGUGAACUCAGCCCCAGGACCAGCUGGAUGAGAGUCCUGAGGUUUCAGUGUGUUAGUAGAACAGGUUAGUGAACUCAGCCCCAGGACCAGCUGGAUGAGAGUCCUGAGGUUUCAGUGUGUCAGUAGAACAGGUUAGUGAACUCAGCCCCAGGACCAGCUGGAUGAGAGUCCUGAGGCUUCAGUGUGUUAGUAGAACAGGUUAGUGAACUCAGCCCCAGGACCAGCUGGAUGAGGGGACUCUUUUCUUUGCUCAGCUCUUGGCAUUGCAGGGCUUGGUAAUGAUAUGACAGGGGGUCACUGUAUUUUAGAUGUUUCCAAAACUGAAUUGAGUUUUUAUUAUUAGUGGAUAUUGACCUAAUUCUGCCCUGCAUGCAUUAUUUGUAGUUUUCCUCUGGACAUGUAGGAGAAUCUAACAGAACUCUGCAUGCAGGUUUUUAAUGGGGGGGUUGUCCCAUUUGGUGAAAUAUUGUUUUGCAAGAGUACCCCACACCUCACUGGCAUAAAGUGCAAUUGGUUCAAUGACAUUCAAAUAGUUUUAGCCAAAUUUAAUA